rnacentral:tRNA from 32 species
GCGGAUGUAGCUCAAUGGUAGAGUAUCAGUCUUCCAAACUGAUGACGCGGGUCCGAUUCCCGUCAUCCGCUCCA